rnacentral:lncRNA from 1 species
GACCUGUGAGAGAAAGCCGGGGAAGCAGAACCCUUUGAUGGAGACAACAGAGUCAGGACAAUAUUGUUUAAAACUCCUAAAUCCAAACAUGCCUGAAGCUAUAAGUUACUUCUGAAAUUUAAAAAUUUGUCUGUGGUAUCUGUUUAUUAUGGCAGCCCAGUGAGACUAAGACAGGCCAUCAAAAGACGUGAACGUUUUGGACCUUCUCUUGGGCCCUAGUAAACAGAAAUCAGGCUACUUAUUAAACUAAACCACGUUCUGAACUGUUACUGCUACUGGAAACCAGUCCCGAUCCAGACCCCAAAAGAGGAUUCUUGGAUCUUGCACAAGAAAGAAAGGCUACUCCUCACAGUAAAAGAGCACUUGGUGGAAAUUUUGUUCUGAAGUGAAGGCUGAAACCCCAGAGAUCAAACACUGUACUCAAGUUUACAAAGCUGGACUCAGACCCUAACACUGGCUUUAAAAUUUGUCCUAAGUUAGACCAUAAUGCCUCUCUUUCCAGCUGGAUCUACAUGCCUCCACUCUGGCUUUUAACAAGGCUCUGAACUAUUGUCAGAACUUGGGAAUUUCUAACAUUGAAGAGUAGAAUCACAUGGGGGCAAUUUAAAGAAUUUCAUCAAUACCUUCAAAUUAAAUAAACCAGCAUCUGGUUGAAAAAAAAAAAAAUCACUUACCUGGAAGGAGAAACCAAAGAAACAUCCUCAAAUUCUAAAGCUUCAUUCAAAAUUCAAG